CCCCCGCAGGCGCGGCCGCCUCCGGGAUCUGUUUGCCCCUUGGGCGCUCGCUCCGCACCCCACCUCCGGAAGCAAAGCACCACGAGGUCAUCUGUUUACUCUGGGAUUAGCGGCUCCCAGCGGGAGCCCUUUUCCUCGGAGAUGAAAAGAAAGCGGACAAUCUGUCAGUGCCUUGGAAAGAACUGAGGGCUCCAGUCAUACACCAUCACCUCGCUACUAUCAAAAAUAGAAGCUCAUCACAAUGAAGAAACGAGCAAGUCCACCUUCAUUCAUUCCACCGGUACUUGUCGUUGAGUACCUAGCUCUGACUAGCUCUGUGCUGGCUACUCUCCUAGGUCCACAGUUCACACUAAGAGAAGGACCUAAAUUUUCGGGAAGUACUUCAUGAAAACAGGGCUACAUGGAAGUCACUCUUUGCCUCUACUUUUGCCGUCUGUGAAAUGGGUGGAGCAGAACGAGUGCUCACCUCCCAGACCCAGCCUACAGACUGCCAAGUGGCCUGGAACGUGGGAGGCCACAAGGAAAGUUGGCUGCACUGAGGCUGCCACGGUCCUGCUUGCUAGGAGCAUUAGGAUGAUGACUGUUCCUGAAAUCCAGGGAAUGUUUUUCUUUUUCCACAGAAGACCCAAACAGCUCGGAGCUUUCAAGAACCUUCCAGAACCCUCAGGGGUGAGUCUGAACUCUUGCUUGAGGAAAACAAGAGAAAGCUUAGAAAAUGAGUGGCCAGGGGAGUGGGCCAGUGAAUCACUGAGGACGUGUGCCACCGAGGUUGGGCAGGGACUGAAUGGAAGACCCAAUGGGGUGUGGGGCCUCACGUGGGAACUGACCAGGAUCAACGGUGCUCAGCUCAGAGAUUCAUCACAAACAAGGAAGACCCAGUCCUUGCCCUUGGUUACUUGGGACUCUGAUGCCAAUUCAGUAGUUCAUGCUUGGUGA
rnacentral:lncRNA from 12 species